GAUGAAGUUUACCGGUUGAAGUAAUGAUAAUGAAGUAUAAGUGACAGUACUGAGUAAUGAGAAUAAAGGAAUGAAAAGAGAAUUAAAGCAGUUGGACUGCGAAGUGAACUUUAGAAUGAUAGGGAAUUUGGUUAUCGUGUGGGUUCAAGUCCCAUUGGUUAUGCAACCCUUAAGAACUUUCUCGGAGGUGACGCUCCCUGCUGGAUAGAGAAAUCUAUCCUUCACCUAGCGAUGACUAGGGAUAGUUUCGGGCAACAUCCGAAGAGGACUGGGGAAUCUCUAAAACUGUUGAGGGUUGUCCUCAAUCUUAAUCCUGUGUUGGGUGUAGAUUGUUGUUUCAAAUUAUUCUAAAUUUGUCUAGGACGACAGCGGCGUCUGUUAAGAAGCGCAUAGCCCGGACGUUGCGAUCCCUCCUCGAUGCGGACGCGCAUUGUUGACCUACGGCGAGUAGGGUUAGCUCGGUUUGGCUUGACCGUGGGGUACAGGGCAUCCUGAGAUAAGCUAGGGGUUCAAGUCCCCUAUUCUUGCGCUUUUUGGCUACCGGUAAAUUAAGUUAGGGCUAGAAAUCUGGACAGAGCAGUUCGAGUCUGGUCUGGUGAAUUGAUUGCAAAAACCUGAGGUUUGCCCGUUCGAGUCGGUUAUGGUAAAUUUUCGAAAUUUGUAGGAGCGACAAGGCCUAAAAAAAAUCUGUGCAGUUGUAAUUUAAGACGUCUGUAAUAUAAAAUAUGAGAUCUAUGAGUAGGAUCAGUCUCUGUGUCAGUCAUGCACAGCCGGAAGUGCACUGAUUGUGUGUGUAAAUGCAAAUGAGCAGCAGUGACGCAGAGAGAGGGUGGUUUCAAUUUUGAGAGGACUGAGAGCUUUUGCUAAAUGCCUGUAUAUAAGAGCUUAUUAUGAGAGUGUAAAUACAGUGUGAAUAUAUUAGUGUGGAUGCAUAGUAAAUGACUGAAUUUUGAUAGAUGUAUAUUUCGUGAGCCAUAAAUGUUGGUGUGUUUUAUUUUUUCAGUUAUGUGUGUGUGGGGAGAAGCUGCGAGGAUGAUGAGAGGUUUCAGUUUUCUUUUUCUUUUCUUUUGACUUGCUCUUUCUGAUCAUGGAAGGCAUGUCCAAAAUACUCGUAUGAAAGCGUAUUUUGUGUGAUUUUAACUGUGUGAAUGCUGUCAGUAUUUGAUUUGAGUGACUCUGCAUGAUUUGUCUGAGUGAGUGGAAAAUGGCAGUUUGAGAGAGAAAAGGCAGUGUGUGUGAGACGAUUACUGAAUGACUAAAGAGGUUAGAACCUUUAAAAGUGUGUAUGAAAGAAAGGGGUAUGAAAUAUAUUUCUUGUGUGAGGAAAAGUAGGAUGUUUUAAAGUUUGAAAGUGCUUUUAAUUCAAGAAAUCCAUGAGAGAUGUUAUGACAGGUUGAGUGUAUUUUUUCCGAUUGAAAAUACAUAAGUAUAUGUACUUGGGAAGCCCAGUUAAGAGAUUAUUGGGUGACUGAUGCUAUAAAACUGACCUAAAGAAUGGUCCUGUCCGUGGAGAAGUGUUAGUUGUCCUGAUGUUUGGAAGAGCUCUAUUUAAAAGUGUGUGUGAGAGGAAGGUGUGUGUGUGACUGAUGAUGUCAGGGGAGCACCCAGAGAAAUAGACAGAUGAGUUAAACUCUAAGAAGAUGAAGCGAAUGCAUGUUUUAAGAAAAAGUAAUAAAGUAAUAAAAUUAUAUUAAUUACAGGUUUUAGAAAAGAGACAGACUGAGAGAAAUAAAUACAGGAACUAACAAUUACAUUAAUGAAUUGAAAAUGCACGUACACAAACUGUUACAUGUGAAAUUAUUGUUGGAAAGUUUAAUAAAGAAAGCAGUUUACACUCCUUUAAUUUCCAGAACCAGUGUGUCCCCUAGGCCUGAUAACACUCUUGCCCAGUUGGCUCCUGUAGUAGGCGGGCAUGGAAGGCUGGACAGCCCAUGACGGGUAAGAUCCCACCUCGAAACCCUGGGACAACCUAAGGCAAGGCGCAGUCACGAUUGCUCGAACCUAAGUCCCGGAGUGACCUUGGAGUCACUGGAGGAGACGGAUUUAACAGGUAAGGCCACUGGGCACAGACGAAGGGGAAAUGUCAUUCACAAUGACCAGUGAUGAGCCAAAGAGAGAAAACACACCCUGUCAAAAGGAGUUUGGAACACUGGAAAAGAAACAUUUACAAGAUCACAAAGAUCAUAAAGAAACAUUUAUAAGAAUCACACAUACAAACAGAAAAUGCACUAACCUUACAGAGACAAGCUCAUGAAGAUUAAUGAACAGAUAAUGACUUAAAACCUGGCUAAGAACACAAACAUACGUAAUUAAAUCAGCCUGCUAAUUUCAUGAGGGUUAAAAUGGUGUGAAUGGUUAAUACAAUUGAUGGAAAGAUUUAAAAUAGAUGGAAAAAACAAAAGAAAAGUGUCUAUAAGAGUGACUCAGGAGUGCUCUUGCACUGAUUUAUCAAAGUAAGUGAUUAGUAUAGAAAGAAAAUGAAAAUAAUUCAAUGAUGUGAUAAGGUUUAAAAACAUGUAUUCCUCUUGUUAAGUUGGCUGUUGAGCUGUGGGUUUAUGCAAAUUAGCUGGAGUGAGUGAGUGACAAAGACACUUCCUGUGUGCGUGUGUGGCGGAGGCUUUCGGUUCAGUUCAAGAGAGAGCAGUGGCUGUUGAAGAGUAUUGGGAGAAAUAUAUAAUGGUAAAGUAUCAGGAUAUUUGAUUACGGUGGUCAGGUCUGUUCAGAGGGGCAGAUUUGGACAGGAAAUUUAUAAUUUAAGGAUGAUAUGUGGUUGAAAUUGGUUUUUAUCUUGUGCUGAAUGAAAACGGUCUUUGAUCUUUUGACGAGGUUUUCGGUGUGUUGAACGGGUGAAAUUUAAGAUUGUUUCAGAUUUUUGAGGCUGUUGUUUUAUUUCCAGAGAGGGUGUUUCAUUAAGGCAGGGAUAGGUCUGAGAGGGGCCCCAAAAAUUUUUUGUAGUAGUAAGUGCACUCAGGAAAAAACCUGUCAGGUGAUUUUGUUUGGUACUUUGAUGAGCUAAUAAUCAGCUCUCUUUUUUCAUUUUUGUUCUAAGCAGGCCUGGAAGAGAGUGAACGGACGGCGCUGACAAAGUUACCAAGUACGAAAAUCAGGUUUUCAGGGCUGGAGCAAAACACCGGAGAGGACAAUUGCUGAGCUGUUCUGAGAAAUGAAAUGACUAACCUUUUUUCCUUUUGAUUUGUUAAGCUUGGGUGGAGCAUGUUGAGUUUUUUGCCACAUGAGAUGUGUCAAAAAAGAGAGGGGUUUAAGAUUUAAUUUGUUUAAUGUGAAAGGGGUUUUACUAGGAUUUUAUAACGAUUGGGGUUGUUUGAUAAUUUAGAUAUGGUAAAACUGAGGCAGAGAUUGUUAAUUCUAAAGAAAGGAGUAAAAUGAACUGAAUUCUGUUUAGAAGAUAAAUUGCUGGGGUUAAAAAGAAGUUGUACACCAAAUUAAAGGGGAAUUGUGGGAAUAAAGGAUAUGCUUUUGGGAAAAUAGUGAACAUUUUAUGAGUAGAAAAUGUGGGAUUUUUCUUUUGAUUUUUAGGAUAAGUGGUAACAGUGACAUAAUGUUAGAAUGUUGUUAUUUUUAGGGUAGUGGAGAGCUUUUUAUGAGGAUGUUAAAAGUCUCGCUGACUCAAAUGAAUAAUAUUGGAGAUUAUAUAUGUAGAAAUGAUUUUUCAUACACAUUGCAUUUUGGGGCCUUUAACGGAGUUGUGGCUCAGAGAGUCGUCUCUUGAGGGUCAUAAACUUUUGGUUAACGUUAUGAUUAGCCAAUCUACUGUGAGAAUGACCUGAGUUUUGAAGGAUUGCACACGCUUACAGACAUACAGAGUUCAUCAACACACAGGACAGUAUUGAUUUGAGGCCUAGGGCCUGAAAUUCCUUUAGCUUUUAACUGAAUUUGAGUUGGCCCAAUAACAAAUGACAGAAAGAGGAACUGAAUAGGAGUUUUGCUUGUAACUAAACUGAGUGACAUAUAAAAUAUUGAGAUAACAGAUGCAGCUCUAACUUAGUCCUCUUAUAUAAAAAGCAGUUACAGAAUACAGAAAUACAGAAAACAGAAGCAAAGGGAGAAAGCUUAUAUAUGUUGGUUAAGUCUGAUAAAGUUUAAGUUAGAGGGAGGCAUUACAUUAGAAGCAGCAAAAUGAAAUAAAAUGAUAUAUUCAAACAGGUUAUUACCCAGAAAAUGGGAGUUCAAAAUACUGUUAGAGUUCAGUUUUAGCUAUGAUGAAGUUUAUCUAGAAGCAAUUAACUAGGUGCUUACACUUAGUGAUUAAAGUGGUUGUUUUUUCUUUGAUCCUUUUAGUAGAAUAAGCCCUUAUAAUGAUUUUAUGAUGAUUUUGCUGGUGAGAGGUGACUUUAGAUGAGAGGCACUUGCAGCAGCAGGGACAGUUUUGUGCACAGGAUGUUGAUGAUCAGAUAAGGAAAAACAGGAACGUAUGACAGCAGUGCUGUAAGACUGUUAGAAAGCUGUAGAUUGAGAUGAGUGAUGUUUAAGAUUAUAUAGGAAUAAAAGUCAAAACCAAAUACAAAAUUAGGUUCAUGUUUUGAGUAACAUUAGGUUUGAAUAAAGAAGACAAUUGAGGGACAUAAGGCAGGGAAGCCGUACUAGGGAGGAAGGGUUCUGUUUCCUUUGCAGGUGGCCAGAUUUCCACUAGAGUGGGACCCAGAAAAGGGACAGACCACUAGAGAUUCACAAGUGUAAGGGUCUUUCACCGGGUAUGAGUGGGUUCUGGGGUGAGGGAGGAGU
ensembl:lncRNA